rnacentral:tRNA from 1 species
CUUGCGAUAGCUCAGUUGGUAGAGCGGAGGACUGUAGUUCCCUAGGUCGUUGGUUCAAGCCCAGCUCGCAAGA